rnacentral:tRNA from 1 species
GCUGGUGUAGCUUAACUGGCAGAGCAGGCGACUUGUAACCGUCAGGUUGUGGGUUCGAUUCCCACCGUCAGCACCA